UUAGCGGCGGACGGGUGAGUAACACGUAGGCAACCUGCCUGUAAGACUGGGAUAACUCCGGGAAACCGGGGCUAAUACCGGAUAACAUCAUUUCUUGCAUGAGAAAUGAUUGAAAGAUGGCGUAAGCUAUCACUUACAGAUGGGCCUGCGGCGCAUUAGCUAGUUGGUGGGGUAAUGGCCUACCAAGGCGACGAUGCGUAGCCGACCUGAGAGGGUGAUCGGCCACACUGGGACUGAGACACGGCCCAGACUCCUACGGGAGGCAGCAGUAGGGAAUCUUCGGCAAUGGACGAAAGUCUGACCGAGCAACGCCGCGUGAGUGAUGAAGGUUUUCGGAUCGUAAAACUCUGUUGUUAGGGAAGAACAAGUAUCGUUUAAAUAAGGCGAUACCUUGACGGUACCUAACGAGAAAGCCCCGGCUAACUACGUGCCAGCAGCCGCGGUAAUACGUAGGGGGCAAGCGUUGUCCGGAAUUAUUGGGCGUAAAGCGCGCGCAGGCGGUCUCUUAAGUCUGAUGUGAAAGCCCACGGCUCAACCGUGGAGGGUCAUUGGAAACUGGGAGACUUGAGUGUAGGAGAGGAAAGUGGAAUUCCACGUGUAGCGGUGAAAUGCGUAGAGAUGUGG
rnacentral:rRNA from 1 species